rnacentral:rRNA from 1 species
UACGUAGGGUGCAAGCGUUAAUCGGAAUUACUGGGCGUAAAGCGUGCGCAGGCGGUUUUGCAAGUCAGAUGUGAAAUCCCCGGGCUCAACCUGGGAACUGCAUUUGUGACUGCAAGGCUAGAAUCUGGCAGAGGGGGGUAGAAUUCCACGUGUAGCAGUGAAAUGCGUAGAUAUGUGGAGGAAUACCGAUGGCGAAGGCAGCCCCCUGGGCUAAGAUUGACGCUCAUGCACGAAAGCGCGGGGAGCAAACAGG